CCUACGGGAGGCUGCAGUGGGGAAUAUUGCACAAUGGGGGAAACCCUGAUGCAGCGACGCCGCGUGAGUGAAGAAGUAAUUCGGUACGUAAAGCUCUAUCAGCAGGGAAGAAACACUGACCUUACGGUCAGCAGACGGUACCUGAGUAAUAAGCCCCUGCUACCUACGUGCCAGCAGCCGCGGUAAUACGUAGGGGGCACGCGUGAUCCGGAUUUACUGGGUGUAAAGGGAGCGUAGACGGUGCGCCAAGUCUGGAGUGAAAUGGCGGAGCUUAACUGCGGAACUGCUUUGGAAACUGGCGAACUCGAGUGGGGGAGGGGUAAGCGGAAUUCCUAGUGUAGCGGUGAAAUGCGUAGAUAUUAGGAGGAACACCGGUGGCGAAGGCGGCUUACUGGACCGUAACUGACGUUGAGGCUCGAAAGCGUGGGGAGCAAACAGGAUUAGAUACCCCGGUAGUC
rnacentral:rRNA from 1 species